rnacentral:lncRNA from 8 species
UGAAAUAACACAUAUGGAAUUAUAUAGUAACCAAAAAUGUGUUAAACAAAUCAAAAAUAUAUUUUAUAUUCCUCAAAGUAGCCACCCUUGAUGACAGCUUUGCACACACUUUUUUUGGUGUCUUCACUAUUAUUCUAUAAUGUAGAAAAUUGUAAAAAUAAAUAAAAACCCUGGAAUGAGUAGGUGUGUCCAAACUUUUGACUGGUACUGUGUAUAUAUAUAUAUAUAUAUAUAUAUAUAUAUAUAUAUAUAUCACUUUGACCUGCUGCUGCUCACUAUCAGUCUGUGAGUGAGAGAGAAUGAGUGAGUGAGUGAGUGAGUGAGUGAGUGAGUAUUGACAUAAUUGGUUGAGAGAGUGCUGCGGCAGAGACAGCUGAGUAACGGAGACAACUUUUUACCAGUUGUAGGUUGGCUAUUUAGAUUGUUGAUUAUGGACACACCCUUUUUCCAUAAAACAUAUUGACCCGGUAGAACUGGCAUCACCCUCACCAACUGCUGGACUUCACCUGUUCCCCGAGCCACCUGAAUCCAUCUGAUCCGUUUUCAGUUGGUCACAGUUAGCUUGAGACCCGCCUAUUCCAAUGAAUUAUAAUCUCUUAUUGGUUUUUCCCUGUGACAGUCAUUCCUCCUCACUGCCUGCCUGUUGAGUGUGAUGCACUGGCGUGUCUAAUCUCUCCGCUGUAGUUCCCCAUAAUGGCGCGUCUCGAUCUGGAGCAGCUUUCGUCUAACUCCUCAUCGAAGUGAAUGGCAGCGGCUCAUCAUCCAUGCCCUGAACUCGGAAGGGACAGGGAGGGUAGUUUUGCGAUGCAACAAGCGUUUUGAGGAGUAGGCUACAUCCAUUGAAACGGAAUAGGUUGUUUUGAAAUUCUUGGCAGACUGUUGCGCCAGGAAAAAAAAUCUCUGUAGCGAUGUCCCUGCUGUGCGUCAGAGUGAAGAAAGCCAAGCUGCAUGGGCCUCCAGAUCAAUAUGUGUUUCUCCCUGAUACCAACACCAGCGUAACUUAUAUGAACAUUGUCCCAUUUCGCAAAACCUGCUGAUACCAAUCCACAAUGGCCGAUACCCCAAACCCUCAAAAAUCCAAUCAUCUGAAGACACACAAGCCAUUUCAUACAGUAGCGGUAUCCUGUUAGGUCUGUCCUGAAACGGAAAACGGAUUGCACUUCUUGCUGUUAUUGUCUUGUAAUUCACUUUUUGAUCAGAUACUCUUCUCAUAUCCACUCGCCUCUCUUAUCCCGCUAUCACAAGAUUAGUGGGGUUUUCUAACCUCCGUCCCCAAAGCGACCCAGUG